ACCAUGGCAAUCUAUGUGAUGAGAAUUUGUGCAAGACUUCCAGGGGACUAAAGUUCCAGAGCUGAUCUUAAUUUAUCAUCAACCACUGAAGCUACAAGGAGUAAUGCUUUUGUCCUGGAAAGCUGUAUUUGGUAUAUCCGACCUCUUCACAACAACUGAUUGGGAUUCUGUUAGGUGGUCCUCAGAAAAAAAUUGGAAGAUAAAGUGGUCCUUGGGCUGCAAAAGUUUGAGAAACACUGCUGUAGAGACAUAGGUAAGAAUACCUUGAAUUAAUUUUUUUUUUUUGAAGAGUACAGACAAAUUCCUAAUGAUGUUAUGGCAGAUGAUCUAAUAAAAAGCCGUUUUCAGCAAAA